rnacentral:rRNA from 1 species
UCAAAAACAUCGCCUUUAGCCCCACAAGUAUUAAAGGUCCAGCCUGCCCAGUGAACCACUUUAACGGCCGCGGUACCCUAACCGUGCAAAGGUAGCGUAAUCACUUGUCCCCUAAUUAGGGACCAGUAUGAACGGCUACAUGAGGGCCAAACUGUCCCCUACAGCCAGUCAAUGAAACUGAACUUUCAGUUAAAAAGCUGAAAUAAGCACAUAAGACGAGAAGACCCCGCGGAGCUUUAAGCAACCUACUACACCAACCAAAAGGCCGCCACGGCCCUAAAACCCCCACCACAGUAUAGUAAAGCUUUUAGUUGGGGCGACUACGGAGCAAAAUAAAACCUCCACGAAUAGGACCUCCAUCCAUUCCAGGCCAACAAGCCAAAAAUAAUACAAUUCUGACCCAGCCAAGCUGAUCAUCGAACCAAGUUACCCCGGGGAUAACAGCGCCAUCCUCUUUCAGAGUCCCUAUCGCCAAGAGGGCUUACGACCUCGAUGUUGGAUCAGGGCCCCCAGGCAGUGCAGCCGCCGCC